rnacentral:rRNA from 1 species
GCGGGACACGUGGUAUCCUGUCUGAAUAUGGGGGGACCAUCCUCCAAGGCUAAAUACUCCUGACUGACCGAUAGUGAACCAGUACCGUGAGGGAAAGGCGAAAAGAACCCCGGCGAGGGGAGUGAAAAAGAACCUGAAACCGUGUACGUACAAGCAGUGGGAGCCUCUUAAUGGGGUGACUGCGUACCUUUUGUAUAAUGGGUCAGCGACUUAUAUUCUGUAGCAAGGUUAACCGAAUAGGGGAGCCGAAGGGAAACCGAGUCUUAACUGGGCGCUAAGUUGCAGGGUAUAGACCCGAAACCCGGUGAUCUAGCCAUGGGCAGGUUGAAGGUUGGGUAACACUAACUGGAGGACCGAACCGACUAAUGUUGAAAAAUUAGCGGAUGACUUGUGGCUGGGGGUGAAAGGCCAAUCAAACCGGGAGAUAGCUGGUUCUCCCCGAAAGCUAUUUAGGUAGCGCCUCGUGAAUUCAUCUCCGGGGGUAGAGCACUGUUUCGGCAAGGGGGUCAUCCCGACUUACCAACCCGAUGCAAACUGCGAAUACCGGAGAAUGUUAUCACGGGAGACACACGGCGGGUGCUAACGUCCGUCGUGAAGAGGGAAACAACCCAGACCGCCAGCUAAGGUCCCAAAGUCAUGGUUAAGUGGGAAACGAUGUGGGAAGGCCCAGACAGCCAGGAUGUUGGCUUAGAAGCAGCCAUCAUUUAAAGAAAGCGUAAUAGCUCACUGGUCGAGUCGGCCUGCGCGGAAGAUGUAACGGGGCUAAACCAUGCACCGAAGCUGCGGCAGCGACACUAUGUGUUGUUGGGUAGGGGAGCGUUCUGUAAGCCUGUGAAGGUGGCCUGUGAGGGUUGCUGGAGGUAUCAGAAGUGCGAAUGCUGACAUAAGUAACGAUAAAGCGGGUGAAAAGCCCGCUCGCCGGAAGACCAAGGGUUCCUGUCCAACGUUAAUCGGGGCAGGGUGAGUCGACCCCUAAGGCGAGGCCGAAAGGCGUAGUCGAUGGGAAACAGGUUAAUAUUCCUGUACUUGGUGUUACUGCGAAGGGGGGACGGAGAAGGCUAUGUUGGCCGGGCGACGGUUGUCCCGGUUUAAGCGUGUAGGCUGGUUUUCCAGGCAAAUCCGGAAAACCAAGGCUGAGGCGUGAUGACGAGGCACUACGGUGCUGAAGCGACAAAUGCCCUGCUUCCAGGAAAAGCCUCUAAGCAUCAGGUAACAUCAAAUCGUACCCCAAACCGACACAGGUGGUCAGGUAGAGAAUACCAAGGCGCUUGAGAGAACUCGGGUGAAGGAACUAGGCAAAAUGGUGCCGUAACUUCGGGAGAAGGCACGCUGAUAUGUAGGUGAAGCGACUUGCUCGUGGAGCUGAAAUCAGUCGAAGAUACCAGCUGGCUGCAACUGUUUAUUAAAAACACAGCACUGUGCAAACACGAAAGUGGACGUAUACGGUGUGACGCCUGCCCGGUGCCGGAAGGUUAAUUGAUGGGGUUAGCGGUAACGCGAAGCUCUUGAUCGAAGCCCCGGUAAACGGCGGCCGUAACUAUAACGGUCCUAAGGUAGCGAAAUUCCUUGUCGGGUAAGUUCCGACCUGCACGAAUGGCGUAAUGAUGGCCAGGCUGUCUCCACCCGAGACUCAGUGAAAUUGAACUCGCUGUGAAGAUGCAGUGUACCCGCGGCAAGACGGAAAGACCCCGUGAACCUUUACUAUAGCUUGACACUGAACAUUGAGCCUUGAUGUGUAGGAUAGGUGGGAGGCUUUGAAGUGUGGACGCCAGUCUGCAUGGAGCCGACCUUGAAAUACCACCCUUUAAUGUUUGAUGUUCUAACGUUGGCCCCUAAUCGGGGUUGCGGACAGUGUCUGGUGGGUAGUUUGACUGGGGCGGUCUCCUCCUAAAGAGUAACGGAGGAGCACGAAGGUUGGCUAAUCCUGGUCGGACAUCAGGAGGUUAGUGCAAUGGCAUAAGCCAGCUUGACUGCGAGCGUGACGGCGCGAGCAGGUGCGAAAGCAGGUCAUAGUGAUCCGGUGGUUCUGAAUGGAAGGGCCAUCGCUCAACGGAUAAAAGGUACUCCGGGGAUAACAGGCUGAUACCGCCCAAGAGUUCAUAUCGACGGCGGUGUUUGGCACCUCGAUGUCGGCUCAUCACAUCCUGGGGCUGAAGUAGGUCCCAAGGGUAUGGCUGUUCGCCAUUUAAAGUGGUACGCGAGCUGGGUUUAGAACGUCGUGAGACAGUUCGGUCCCUAUCUGCCGUGGGCGCUGGAGAACUGAGGGGGGCUGCUCCUAGUACGAGAGGACCGGAGUGGACGCAUCACUGGUGUUCGGGUUGUCAUGCCAAUGGCACUGCCCGGUAGCUAAAUGCGGAAGAGAUAAGUGCUGAAAGCAUCUAAGCACGAAACUUGCCCCGAGAUGAGUUCUCCCUGAGACUUAGAGUCUCCUGAAGGAACGUUGAAGACGACGACGUUGAUAGGCCGGGUGUGUAAGCGCAGCGAUGCGUUGAGCUAACCGGUACUAAUGAACCGUGAGGCUUAACCUU